ensembl:lncRNA
UAUAGAAUAACAACUGGGGUAUUUCUUCUUUUUUACUUUAAAAAUGUCAGAGAGGUCUGGUUCCCAGUUUCCUGCUUGAACCGAUGGGCAAGAAAAACAAGGGUAAAAACAAGCGAAUUGAACUCGCCAAUGGCAUCCCAUAUCCACCAGCUCUACAACCCCCAAAUCGACCCCAAGGUCCAUCUCAACGGUCAUUAGAGUUGCACCCCUCCUAUGCCGGCACUGCCCACACAACUCCUCCUACAACCGGCAACUCCACCCACAUCCCUACGCAGCAGGCCCAAACUUCACCUCAGGAGCCUGGAUCAGCCAUAGUCAAGGUGCACUAUACAUACACCAUGGCUCUGAGAGUCCCUUUAGAAACUUCUUUCUGGGAUCUGCAAGACAAAAUCGCUCAGAAAUUAGGACAGCCCGCAACAACCGUUCGCCUCAGACACAGAAGGAACGGCACCAGAGCACUAACUCCAUUAAAUGGUGAUGAUAGACUGGAUAGCCUGGAGGGUGCGGCUGAAUCAGGACGUGCCCAAAUUUGGUGUCAGAAUGAGGACCCUCUGGUAAACAGGACUAUUCUCUAUCAGAUGGUGGCACUGUAUGACUACAAUGCACAAGGCCCAGAGGAUUUGGAAUUCAGUGAAGGUGACACAAUUGACAUUCUCAGUGAAGGUACAUAAACACAGGGGUAUCUUUUUGUUAUU